rnacentral:rRNA from 1 species
UGGGGAAUUGUUCGCAAUGGGCGCAAGCCUGACGACGCAACGCCGCGUGGAGGAUGAAGGUCUUCGGAUUGUAAACUCCUGUUGCCCGGGACGAAUGGCUCCAACCUAAUACGUUGGAGUGUGACGGUACCGGGUGAGGAAGCCCCGGCUAACUCUGUGCCAGCAGCCGCGGUAAUACAGAGGGGGCAAGCGUUGUUCGGAAUUACUGGGCGUAAAGGGCGCGUAGGCGGCCUGCUAAGUCGAACGUGAAAUCCCUGGGCUCAACCCAGGAACUGCGUCCGAUACUGGUUGGCUUGAAGCCGGGAGAGGGAUGUGGAAUUCCAGGUGUAGCGGUGAAAUGCGUAGAUAUCUGGAGGAACACCGGUGGCGAAGGCGACAUCCUGGACCGGUAUUGACGCUGAGGCGCGAAAGCCAGGGGAGCAAACGGGAUUAGAUACCCCGGUAGUCCUGGCCCUAAACGAUGAAUGCUUGGUGUGGCGGGUAUCGAUCCCUGCCGUGCCGAAGCUAACG